rnacentral:rRNA from 1 species
AUUGAACGCUGGCGGUAUGCUUAACACAUGCAAGUCGAACGGUGAAAGAGAGCUUGCUCUCUGGAUCAGUGGCGAACGGGUGAGUAACACGUGAGCAAUCUGCCCCUGACUCUGGGAUAAGCGCUGGAAACGGCGUCUAAUACCGGAUACGAGCUGCGAAGGCAUCUUCAGCAGCUGGAAAGAAUUUCGGUCAGGGAUGAGCUCGCGGCCUAUCAGCUAGUUGGUGAGGUAACGGCUCACCAAGGCGUCGACGGGUAGCCGGCCUGAGAGGGGGACCGGCCACACUGGGACUGAGACACGGCCCAGACUCCUACGGGAGGCAGCAGUGGGGAAUAUUGCACAAUGGGCGAAAGCCUGAUGCAGCAACGCCGCGUGAGGGACGACGGCCUUCGGGUUGUAAACCUCUUUUAGCAGGGAAGAAGCGAAAGUGACGGUACCUGCAGAAAAAGCACCGGCUAACUACGUGCCAGCCGCCGCCGUAACAC